rnacentral:lncRNA from 1 species
GCCAGACGCACCACUGGACACAGCGCCUCUCUCCAGGGGCUUUAGAGUUGGUCGAUGGACACGUGUCCGUUCUGUGCCGCCAGGGCUUUGUGCGAGGCGUAAGGGCAAAGCCCGAGGGAGGGAGUGCUGGACAGCCUGGGUUCUUACAGAGUUGCGUGGACCCUGCGGUGCUGGAGGUGGGGGGCGGGGUAGGAUUGCUCGGGGAAGGCUCCCUGGAGGAACCGGCACCUGCGCUCAGUUUGGGAAGGUGGGUCAAAAAAGGUUUCCACAAGAGGACGCAUAUCGAGCCCAGAGAGUGCAUGCAAAGGGACUGAUGGCAUUUCCACACCCCAGAGCCGCGGGAAUCACCGACCACACUGGCAUAUCACUCAGCGUAUGGAAAGCUGCCGAAAAGCUUAAAGGCGGAAAAGGGCAGAUUUUAGAAGGAGGCUGCAGAGAAACCCUCCAGGAGAACUGAAUAAGAGAGAGGAAUAGGGGAAAUAAACUGACUGAUCAGACCAGACAGUUUGAGUAAUGUAAUCCAGGAGUGAAAAGGUGAGACAAAACUGGGGCAGUCGUGAGACUAGAGAUUGCCAGAAGGGUUUAGAGGUGAAACCUAUUUGGGAGGUAAAAUUGGAAGAUUGAUUGGAGAUUGGAGGUUGAUCAAAAGGGUGGAGUUAGCCGAGGCGGUGGCACGCGGCGGUAAUUCCAGCAACUAGGGAGGCUGAGGCAGGAGGAUCACAAGCCUCAGCAAUUUAGCGAGGCCCUAAGGAACUUAGCUGGACUCUAUUCCAAAAAUAAAAACUAUAACUCCCCAGGGAGGGGGAAGAGGAGGAAGAAGAAGAAAGAAUGGAGUUAUUUAUUGAAUGAUAGGCCACAUCUUGUAAGAAUGGAACCAAUUUGUCAUCAGGAAAGAUAAAAUACUGCAUCCAUACCUUAACCACAUGUGGAAGUGUGAAGGGGACAGGAGGCAAAUUCCAAAUGAAUCAAAGAUUAUAAUAUGAAACAUGAAAUCUUUUAUAACAGUGUCAAAAAAUAAAAGAAAGGAGAAAGUUCAAAUUAUGAUCCAGGAGACAUGGAAGAUGGGUACAUUUUACUGUAUCGAUGUCAAAAACUUUUGCCUAGAAAAUCAAAAGACAAAUCAUGAAGAAAAUACAUUACAGGGGGAAAAUAAGUUAAUUUCACGAAUAGGUGAAGAGUGCCUAGAUUUCACAAAUAAAAAGAUCACCAACCAUGGAGGGAAAUGAGCUCACAGAAAAUAAUGCAAAUGGCUGCUAAAAAUAUGAAAUAUAGCUGGGG